GACGAACGCUGGCGGCGUGCCUAAUACAUGCAAGUUGAGCGAUGAAGCUUGGUGCUUGCCCCAAUUUGAAGAGCAGCGAACGGGUGAGUAACGCGUGGGUAAUCUGCCUUUGAGCGGGGGACAACAUUUGGAAACGAAUGCUAAUACCGCAUAACAACUUUAAACAUAAGUUUUAAGUUUGAAAGAUGCAAUUGCAUCACUCAAAGAUGAUCCCGCGUUGUAUUAGCUAGUUGGUGAGGUAAAGGCUCACCAAGGCGAUGAUACAUAGCCGACCUGAGAGGGGGAUCGGCCACAUUGGGACUGAGACACGGCCCAAACUCCUACGGGAGGCAGCAGUAGGGAAUCUUCGGCAAUGGACGAAAGUCUGACCGAGCAACGCCGCGUGAGUGAAGAAGGUUUUCGGAUCGUAAAACUCUGUUGGUAGAGAAGAACGUUGGUGAGAGUGGAAAGCUCAUCAAGUGACGGUAACUACCCAGAAAGGGACGGCUAACUACGUG
rnacentral:rRNA from 1 species